AUUGAACGCUGGCGGCAUGCUUUACACAUGCAAGUCGAACGGGGUGAAGGGGCAACUCUUCAUUCAGUGGCGAACGGGUGAGUAAUGCAUCGGAACGUACCUCGUAGUGGGGAUAACUCGGCGAAAGCCGUGCUAAUACCGCAUAUGCUCUACGGAGGAAAGCAGGGGACCUGAGAGGGCCUUGUGCUAUGGGAGCGGCCGAUGUCCGAUUAGCUAGUUGGGGGGUAAGUGGCCUACCAAGGCGACGAUCGGUAGCUGGUCUGAGAGGAUGAUCAGCCACACUGGGACUGAGACACGGCCCAGACUCCUACGGGAGGCAGCAGUGGGGAAGUUUUGGACAACGGGGGCGAACCCUGAUCCAGCCAUGCCGCGUGCGGGAAGAA
rnacentral:rRNA from 1 species